GAGCAUCAGCUGCCCAGCCUUAGCACUUUGAGAAACUGGGAAGUGCAGACAGCUUAAACUGGCGGAGUCCGAUCAGAUGAGGCAAGAGAGGGUGCAGCCUCAGGGACGGUGGGCAUUGAACUUCCAGUGGUUGGAAUACCUCCACUCCCAGUCUUGAUGGCUCCCUAGCAUUCCCAACCCUGGGGCUUACCGUGGCUAUAGAGGAAGAUUGCAAGCUAGCAUUUUCCAAGCGUUUUCUGCACACUGCCCCUGUGAGGACAUACUCCUCAGACUGAAUUCUGCAGAUUCACAAUGUGCGAAAUAUCAGUCCACAAUAGAUUGAAAAUUUUAAAAACUGGUCCUUAAUCACAGAUCACGUGAGAAGCAUUGCUCUCAAGUCAGCCUCCUCUUUACCUGCUUCUGGACAGUCUCACGCUCAAAAUAAAGGCCUAUGGAGAAAAAGAGUUAGUUCAUCUAAGAUAACACCAAUAAAAGAAGAUACUGCUUAUAAGGACCCCAAAUGACACCCCAAGGAGGGAAUCUUGAACUGAAUAGGAGCCUGGCAGUUCAUCGAGAGCUGCUCAGCACAACGCUAAGCCCCUAAAAGGGGAGUAAAUUAUCUACUUGGAAAUCA
rnacentral:lncRNA from 1 species